rnacentral:lncRNA from 1 species
GGAAGGGGGCAGAAGGGAUGGGCCUCCGCCCUCUCUCACUUCACUUUUUCUGUAGCGUUAUUGACCCGUCAUUAGUUAUCCGUCCAAGGUCGCCAGGUCUGGCCCAGCCAUAAAUCACCGCCGCUGGGGGGGCGGGGGGGGAGAAUUUGGGGGACUAGAGGAGCGAAGGAGUCAGUGCUGAACGCGGCCCGGAAGGGUAGCAGCAGACACCCGUCAGGCUCAUAGGGACCCGCCCCAGCCCUUGUGACCGUCCUUCUCGGCUCCCUCCCAACCCCAGGCUGCCCAGCGUGCCUGUCCCUCGGCCACUCUCUCCUGUCUCCGUCCAUCUCUUUCACCGCUGAAGUGUAUCUAGAUGGCUGCGCCAAGAAAAGGGUGACCAGAUUGUCCUCGGUCAUCUCCCUCAUAGCUCUUCCAGGUUAUAGCUUCCAUCAACAAGAACAGAAAUCCUGAAGGGGAAACUGAGGCACAGAGUCCUGGCCCGAGAUGAGUCUGAGAAGUCUCACCCGAUUCUCUCCUCGGUCACUUCAGUCCCUCCCUACUCCAGACGGAUGCUGCAAGGGUCUCUCCGCCCUCAGAAGGGAGUGGAUCUGCGUCUGCACCGGGCGGGACCUGCACUCGAGGAGCGGGACCCUUUCCCUAGCGCCCGGGUCCUAGAGGAGCGUGGCUUGGCCCUCCUCUCAAGAGCUCGCCCGGCUUAGCAGCGGACCUCUUCGCCGGUCCUCGCGCGCCCUCUGCCGGCGCCUCUCAGGAAACGCGCUCGCUGUCCCCGCCCUGGAUAUUCCCGUCCCGUACGACAGACCGAGGGCAGCCGGGAGCUCUGCAUGCCCCUGCUUUUGGAACACUCCUUGCACCAAGAUUCCAGAAAAUUCCUUUGUCUAUUCAAAACUGGAGGAGCGAGGACAAGAGAGCUGAACUUGAGGCAGGCCAGGCUCGGAGCAUAUGGGUCAGUCAUCCAUCACCUGCCACCUCCCUAGAGACCUUGGCAGGCCAGGUUUGAGGGACGAGAGGAAAGGAGGUGAGACAAAAGGCUCAGUGAGAUUUGAGCGGAGCGGAACAAGGGAAUCAGCUGGGCGGAAUCACGGAGACCUGAGUGACAUCCGUCUCUGACACAUGUUGCAUGAUUUGGGACAAUAAAAAGAACCUCUCUGGGACA